AACGAACGCUGGCGGCGUGCUUAACACAUGCAAGUCGAACGGGUUUAAUGGAUGUAGCAAUACAUUCAUUAAAUUAGUGGCGCACGGGUGAGUAACACGUAGGUAACCUACCCUUCAGUGGGGGACAACAGAGGGAAACUUCUGCUAAUACCGCAUACGAUCACGGACUGGGAUGUUCGUGGUGAAAGGAUUUAUUCGCUGAGGGAUGGGCCUGCGGCCUAUCAGGUAGUUGGUGAGGUAAUGGCUCACCAAGCCUGCGACGGGUAGCCGGACUGAGAGGUCGAUCGGCCACACUGGAACUGAGACACGGUCCAGACUCCUACGGGAGGCAGCAGUGGGGAAUAUUGCACAAUGGGGGAAACCCUGAUGCAGCGACGCCGCGUGGAGGAUGACGGCCUUCGGGUUGUAAACUCCUUUUGUCAGGGACAAUGGUGAUGGUACCUGACGAAUAAGCCACGGCUAACUCUGUG
rnacentral:rRNA from 1 species